rnacentral:rRNA from 1 species
UACGGAGGGUGCAAGCAUUAAUCGGAAUUAUUGGGCGUAAAGGGCGCGUAGGCGGGAUUAAAAGUCAGAUGUGAAAUUCCGAAGCUCAACUUCGGAGCCGCAUUUGAAACUGCAAUUCUUGAGGGAUGGCGGAGGAAACGGAAUUCCACGUGUAGCGGUGAAAUGCGUAGAUAUGUGGAAGAACACCUGUGGCGAAAGCGGUUUUCUAGCUUUUACCUGACGCUGAGGCGCGAGAGCAAGGGGAGCAAAC